rnacentral:lncRNA from 1 species
UGCUCGCAGUGAGGCUACUGGAGUUUGACUGACACAUCAAUAUGGAUCUCAAAGAGCCCUUGUAGUGGAUGUUGGUGACACUUGGUCUGUGGUAGGAGUGGGGUAUGCAUCAAGAUGGGAUCUAUCGAUCUUAGCAGAAGGGAGUAGUCCUAUGAAAUUUAAGAGGCUGAGUCCUUAAAUCUUCGGCCAUAGCAGUGUGAUUGAUGGAAAAGAGUUUUCAUAAAAUCACAUAUAGACUUAAGCUGAUUGAAUCUAUCAUAUGACCGAUGUUGAGAUUUGACGAUUUAUCCAUUACCUGCCAUCU